AUUGAACGCUGGCGGUAUGCCUUACACAUGCAAGUCGAACGGUAGAGGGGCAACCCUCGAGAGUGGCGAACGGGUGAGUAAUACAUCGGAACGUGCCCAGUCGUGGGGGAUAACGUAGCGAAAGCUACGCUAAUACCGCAUACGACCUGAGGGUGAAAGCGGGGGACUCGCAAGGGCCUCGCGCGAUUGGAGCGGCCGAUGGCAGAGUAGGUAGUUGGUGGGGUAAAGGCCCACCAAGCCUGCGAUCCGUAGCUGGUCUGAGAGGACGACCAGCCACACUGGGACUGAGACACGGCCCAGACUCCUACGGGAGGCAGCAGUGGGGAAUUUUGGACAAUGGGCGCAAGCCUGAUCCAGCCAUACCGCGUGCGGGAAGAAGGCCUUCGGGUUGUAAACCGCUUUUGUCAGGGAAGAAAUCUUCUGGGUUAAUACCUCGGGAGGAUGACGGUACCUGAAGAAUAAGCACCGGCUAACUACGUGCCAGCCGCCGCGGUAACAC
rnacentral:rRNA from 1 species